UACGGAGGGUGCAAGCGUUAUCCGGAUUCACUGGGCUUAAAGGGUGCGUAGGUGGGUUGAUAAGUCAGUGGUGAAAUCCCCGAGCUUAACUUGGGAACUGCCAUUGAUACUAUUGAUCUUGAAUACCGUGGAGGUCAGCGGAAUAUGUCAUGUAGCGGUGAAAUGCUUAGAUAUGACAUAGAACACCAAUUGCGAAGGCAGCUGGCUACGCGAAUAUUGACGCUGAUGCACGAAAGCGUGGGGAUCAAACAGG
rnacentral:rRNA from 1 species